GGCGGACGGGUGAGUAAUGCUUAGGAAUCUGCCUGUUAGUGGGGGACAACAUUCCGAAAGGAAUGCUAAUACCGCAUACGUCCUACGGGAGAAAGCAGGGGAUCUUCGGACCUUGCGCUAAUAGAUGAGCCUAAGUCGGAUUAGCUAGUUGGUGGGGUAAAGGCCUACCAAGGCGACGAUCUGUAGCGGGUCUGAGAGGAUGAUCCGCCACACUGGGACUGAGACACGGCCCAGACUCCUACGGGAGGCAGCAGUGGGGAAUAUUGGACAAUGGGCGGAAGCCUGAUCCAGCCAUGCCGCGUGUGUGAAGAAGGCCUUUUGGUUGUAAAGCACUUUAAGCGAGGAGGAGG
rnacentral:rRNA from 1 species